rnacentral:misc_RNA from 1 species
UUAAGUUCAGCGGGUAUUCCUACCUGAUCCGAGGUCAACCAUGUAAAAGUUGGGGUUUUACGGCGUGGCCGCGCCGCUCUCCAGCUGCGAGAAUGCAAGCUACUGCACAGAGGAGGCUACAGCGUGACCGCCACUAGUUUUGGGGGACGACCGCCGCUGAGGGCGGUCGAUCCCCAACACCGAUCACCCCCGCGAAGGGG